rnacentral:rRNA from 1 species
UUUAACAUGAGAGUUUGAUCCUGGCUCAGGAUGAACGCUGGCGGCGUGCUUAACACAUGCAAGUCGAACGAAGCAAUUUUCUACGAUCCCUUCGGGGUGACGGAUUAUUGACUGAGUGGCGGACGGGUGAGUAACGCGUGGGCAACCUACCUUGUACAGGGGGACAACAGUUGGAAACGACUGCUAAUACCGCAUAAGCGCACAGCAUCGCAUGAUGCAGUGUGAAAAGUUUUUUCGGUACAAGAUGGACCCGCGUCUGAUUAGCUAGUUGGUGAGGUAACGGCCCACCAAGGCGACGAUCAGUAGCCGACCUGAGAGGGUGACCGGCCACAU